CUGCCUCACAGCCCCCUUCUUAGGGCAGUUCUUCACACACAUCACUCUUGGGAGGAUGAGGCAAGAGGAUCAUGAAUUUGAGACACCCAGAGCUACAGAGUUGACAUCUGCAAUCAACUUGACUGGACUCAGAAUCAUCAUGGAAGCAUUAUCACUGGUGUGUUUGUUAGGGUGUUUCCAGCAAGGUUUAACAAAGGAAGGAAGACCCACUCUGAAUACACAUGCUGCUGCACCAUGGAGGAUAUGGGGAAGAAUCAGCUUUCCCAUGAAGUUAAAAGCUCUCAGAAGAUCCUGGAUGAACCAUUCUAAAGAGAUCACCAUUGGAACUUCUGUGUGGUUUUGGUUUUGAUUGUCUUUGUUUGCAAUGAGCCAAGAUGAAGACAUUCUGAAUUUUUUUUUAACUUCUGUCUUUCACAAGCUGGAGAACAUUGCCCCACUCAAUGAAUGAACUUGGAAGAGCCAUGAGUAGGAAAGAAUAAAGUUGCCAUUGCUCAUCUCAUGGAAGUCCUGUAAACAGCCCAUGCUAACAUGUUUUCUUGCCAUCCACUUUUUAAACUAUCUUCAUUCAGUCAUAAAGUUUCUUCAACUUUUCUAACCAACCCAUUUGGUACCUCCAAGCUCUUAUACAUGCUAAUCUCCUUGCCUGUAAUGCCCUCCUCCCUCCUUCCCCCUCUCUCUUCCCUAUUUGGCUAAUUUUUAUUUAGCUUUUGGAAGUGUCUGUCAAAUAUCACCUUCUCUUUGAACUAACCAGUCCUUCCAUGCCUUCCCGGCCAGCCUCGGUUAGAGCUCUACUCCUAAACAAUAAAUACGUCAUAUCA